AAUGUACACAAGAAAGUGUGAACUCAACGGACAAGUCCAAGGAAAGUUCAGUAUUCUGGAAAGGUGAAUGACUCCAACACUCAGUUAUUGUACAAAUACCCUCCUUUUUGUCCUUGUUUAUACCAAUUACGAAGGUACCCAUAAAAACUUGGCAAAGAGUGAUUCAAGAAUUUCUAUGUGAAUGCAAAGUACUGUAAUUUCACAUAAUAAGGGAAAAACGGCAAAAAAAAUUUACAAAAUGGGAGUACAAAAAUCAUUCGCUUUUUGGAAAGCUUUAUAACAAUGUAAUUGUAAUCCUUCAAAUCAAGAAUCCUCCCAAACGCGAGCAUGUAAACCCUAGUACUGGCGUUUCAUGGAGGUUUAUGAAAAUUCUCAAACUCAAUUUGGUUUGCGAAAGGAAAAGGAAGAGGAAUAUCAUCCAACAAAUUGACCAACAAUUAGAUCCUUCAACUUUUCAUUUAUCAUGAAAUUUGAGUGGCUUGUUCUCAGUGAAGUUCAAAAAAAAAAGGGUAUUAACAAGAUCUCAAAUCAUCUUUUGAAUUGGCACCACGUUGACAUAUGAAAUUCAGCUUUAGUCUAACUGGAAAUCAAUGUGAUAAGAAGACAGUGACAUGAAGACCAAGAAAAGAAAUAAGAAAAAAAAAAUAAAGCAGCAAAACAUUAGGCAAUCUGGGUUCCAAUAACUGUUGUUGGAAUGAAAAUCUAACUGUUACUGUCAGAGGGAAUACCAUACCCAAGUUCCCAACCCAACACAAAUUUCCACUACUUCAACAAGGUGUUCUUCAGGUAUACAGUCCAUGGAGUCAUAAAGCUCGGCUGUGGUAAUGCAUACACAUCCUUCAUUUUCUCAUAGAUACUUGGAAUCGCUGCUGGAAAUAUCUCCAACAUAUCGUCCAUCGCCGCCCACUGAAGAGUUUUAUCACUUCCCUUCUAGAGAGAUUGAAAAGAUGAUUCACAAAAAGGCCACAUAAGAGCAUCUCCAAUGAGAAGCUAUUUUUCUUGCCCCAGUCAUUAUUUGGCAAACGUUCACAAAAUAUGCAGUCCAAUUGUAUGUCAUUGUGCUUGCCAAAGAAUUUUGGCCUAGGAAAUGGCUUUGGCAAAGCCAUUUGUUGCCGCAUCACUAUUUUGCAUUGACUUUGUGAUCCAAAUCGCUAGGUGAAGUAUUAGAGAUCCAAUGGUUGUGAUGUCUUGUGCCCAAAAAUAUAGCACCAUUGGAGCAUUUUUUUUCAAAAUUUUAGUUAAAUGACACUGUAGCAUGCGAAAAAAUAGAUUUGG